AUGUCGCUGCCGAGUUCGCAGGCGGAAGAAGAACAUCCGUCGAGCCGUCCAAUGUCGCCUGCGGCGGCUACACGAGAGGUGCCAAAGGCGUCCGAUCGAACUCAGUUGGAGGCCAAACAAGUUCGGCUCUUGGACAUGCCACCAAUAACGCUCGAUGACACGAUGCGCAUACUAACAGGAGAGCAAUUUCAAUGGACAAUGGAAACAUGA
rnacentral:rRNA from 1 species